CUUUGUUGUUGUGCUCUUUUAUAGACUGCAGACCUUUUCAUGACUCUUGUGUUUGAGCUUCGACAUCUUUCUCUUCAGGCCUUAAGGGCACUAUGGCGAAGAUCUUCCUUUAAAUGCAGAGAUAACUGGCAGCCCCUAAUAGACGCUCUCCCAUCGUGUGCUACGGAGGCAUGUGUUCUGCUAAUGAAAGAAAUUAUAGUCUCCAGAGAAGUUGAGGAAGACAAAGUGGAAUCUUUCCUUUGGUCAUUUUCGUUCAUUCCUAAGCCUACUUCUGGCAUGAUUGAAUCUCUUGCUCCUUUGCUGCAGUCAGCGGGAGCAAGCCAGAGCUCCUUCUUAGGAAUAACUGCUCUUGUACAUAGGUUUUGUUCAGCUCACAAAUCCUGUGAUGGUGUGCCUGCUGUGCAGAGUGUGAUGAGGACUCUUGGUGAAUUUCUG
rnacentral:lncRNA from 1 species